CAACCACAUUCGUUCCUCCAAAAAAAAGCACACAACGAAGCUGCCGCUCACCGCCGUCUCAUAGCGCAGCCGCCGGCUGCCGGCCGCCGCCCACGGGCGCGGCGCACAUCAGUCCCUCCCUUCCCUUGUUCCCUUCAUCCAACAUUCAGACGCCCCACCGGCCACAACCACUGCUUAGCCGACCCACGCGCGGACGCGCAUAUGCAGCCGCGAGCGGCGAGCCGGUAAGCCGGCAACGGCGGCGAGGGCGCGAGGCUGUAAAUUGCCAACUGGGCAAAUCCUUCUAUGAAUCAUUAUAAGUUGGGCAGGUUACAAAUUGAGGUGUAGGCAGCCAUGGAAUGCGUGAAGGAACGGAAUGUUGAUUUGUAGUAUGUACCUGCACACAACCUUGCCUGAUGGUCAAUGGUAUGGCUUAUUUUGGUUUUGAGUAGUAUAUAUGGUCAAAUGUUAUGGCUUAUUUUGGUCUCGGUAGUAUAUAUAUAUAUGCUCAUCUUGUAUUCAAUGUGAACAGAAGGUGUACUGACUAUAUAUAUUUAAAUAGUAUAUAUGCUUUAGAAUUUGAAAA